GGGGGUAGCUCAGUGGUAGAGCGUCAGUUUUCCAAACUGAAUGUCGCGGGUUCGAUCCCCGUCCCCC
rnacentral:tRNA from 1 species